rnacentral:rRNA from 1 species
UCAGACGAUGCGUCAUGCAUAUCAAUAAGCGGAGGAAAAGAAACUAACAAGGAUUCCCUUAGUAACGGCGAGCGAAGCGGGAAGAGCUCAAAUUUGAAAUCUUCAAGGUUCUACCUUGACGAAUUGUAGUUUAAAGAAGUGUUUUCUGUUAGUGGAGUGGCAAAAGUUCUUUGGAAUAGGACAUCAUAGAGGGUGAGAAUCCCGUAUUUGGUCAUUCCUUCUAGCUUUGUGAUACACUUUCAAAGAGUCGGAUUGUUUGGGAAUGCAGUCCAAAAUGGGUGGUAAAUUUCAUCUAAAGCUAAAUAUUGGCGAGAGACCGAUAGCGAACAAGUACCGUGAGGGAAAGAUGAAAAGAACUUUGAAAAGAGAGUUAAACAGUACGUGAAAUUGUCAAAAGGGAAGCGUUUGACACCAGUGUUGUUUUUCCGAAAAUCAAUUAAAAAUGGAUUCAUGCCAAGUUGUAUUGACCUUAUCAGCUUGCAAUUUGGUUUUGGGUUCCUUUUUGAUGCACUUUUCGGUUAACAAGUCAACAUCAAUUUCCUUUGCUGUAAAAGGGCAGAAGGAAGGUGGCUUCAAUUUCGGUUGAAGUGUUUAUAGCCUUUUGUCUCUGCAGUCGGGGAGAUUGAGGUCUGCAGCGUAGAUCCUUCGGGGUUAGAUACAUUUGUGCUAAGUUAUAGCCUUUCAUAGACAACUUGUUGACUAUGUAUCAGUCAUGUAACUUACUCGCUUAUGCUAUUUUACCUACGCUUAGGAUGUUGAUAUGCAUGACUGAUAU